GACGAACGCUGGCGGCGUGCUUAACACAUGCAAGUCGAACGGAAAGGCCCUGCUUUUGUGGGGUGCUCGAGUGGCGAACGGGUGAGUAACACGUGAGUAACCUGCCCUUGACUUUGGGAUAACUUCAGGAAACUGGGGCUAAUACCGGAUAGGAGCUCCUGCUGCAUGGUGGGGGUUGGAAAGUUUCGGCGGUUGGGGCUGGACUCGCGGCUUAUCAGCUUGUUGGUGGGGUAGUGGCUUACCAAGGCUUUGACGGGUAGCCGGCCUGAGAGGGUGACCGGCCACAUUGGGACUGAGAUACGGCCCAGACUCCUACGGGAGGCAGCAGUGGGGAAUAGUGCACAAUGGGCGGAAGCCUGAUGCAGCAACGCCGCGUGCGGGAUGACGGCCUUCGGGUUGUAAACCGCUUUCGACUGUGACGAAGCGUGAGUGACGGUAAUGGGUAAAGAAGCACCGGCUAACUACGUG
rnacentral:rRNA from 1 species